rnacentral:rRNA from 1 species
UGCGUAGGCGGCUCUUUAAGUCAGUGGUGAAAUCUUGCCGCUUAACGGUAAAAUUGCCAUUGAUACUGAAGAGCUUGAGUACAGUUGAGGUAAGCGGAAUGUGUAGUGUAGCGGUGAAAUGCUUAGAUAUUACACAGAACACCAAUUGCGAAGGCAGCUUACUAAACUGUUACUGACGCUGAUGCACGAAAGCGUGGGGAGCGAACAGGAUUAGAUACCCUGGUAGUCCACGCCGUAAACGAUGCUCACUCGCUGUUUGCGAUACACAGCAAGCGGCCAAGCGAAAGCAUUAAGUGAGCCACCGUGGGGAGUACGAUCGCAAGGUUGAA